CCUACGGGGGGCAGCAGUGGGGAAUAUUGGACAAUGGGGGGAACCCUGAUCCAGCCAAGCCGCGUGUGUGAAGAAGGCCCUCGGGUUGUAAAGCACUUUCAGUGAGGAAGAACGCCUGGUGGUUAAUACCCAUCAGGAAAGACAUCACUCACAGAAGAAGCACCGGCUAACUCCGUGCCAGCAGCCGCGGUAAUACGGAGGGUGCGAGCGUUAAUCGGAAUUACUGGGCGUAAAGCGCGCGUAGGUGGCUUGAUAAGCCGGUUGUGAAAGCCCCGGGCUCAACCUGGGAACGGCAUCCGGAACUGUCAAGCUAGAGUGCAGGAGAGGAAGGUAGAAUUCCCGGUGUAGCGGUGAAAUGCGUAGAGCUCGGGAGGAAGACCAGUGGCGAAGGCGGCCUUCUGGACUGACACUGACACUGAGGUGCGAAAGCGUGGGUAGCAAACAGGAUUAGAUACCCGGGUAGUC
rnacentral:rRNA from 1 species